UAGGGAAUCUUCGGCAAUGGGGGGAACCCUGACCGAGCAACGCCGCGUGAGUGAAGAAGGUUUUCGGAUCGUAAAGCUCUGUUGUUAAGGAAGAACGAGUGUGAGAAUGGAAAGUUCAUACUGUGGCGGUACUUAACCAGAAAGGGACGGCUAACUACGUGCCAGCAGCCGCGGUAAUACGUAGGUCCCGAGCGUUGUCCGGAUUUAGUGGGCGUAAAGCGAGCGCAGGCGGUUAGAUAAGUCUGAAGUUAAAGGCAGUGGCUCAACCAUUGUAGGCUUUGGAAACUGUUUAACUUGAGUGCAGAAGGGGAGAGUGGAAUUCCAUGUGUAGCGGUGAAAUGCGUAGAUAUAUGGAGGAACACCAGUGGCGAAGGCGACUCUCUGGUCUGUAACUGACGCUGAGGUUCGAAAGCGUGGGUAGCAAACAGG
rnacentral:rRNA from 1 species